rnacentral:rRNA from 1 species
UACGAAGGGGGCUAGCGUUGUUCGGAAUUACUGGGCGUAAAGGGCGCGUAGGCGGCGUGUCAAGUCAGGCGUGAAAGCCCCGGGCUCAACCUGGGAACCGCGCUUGAGACUGGCAUGCUCGAGUUCGGGAGAGGAUGGUGGAAUUCCCAGUGUAGAGGUGAAAUUCGUAGAUAUUGGGAAGAACACCGAUGGCGAAGGCAGCCAUCUGGACCGACACUGACGCUGAGGCGCGAAAGCGUGGGGGGCAAACAGG